rnacentral:lncRNA from 1 species
CAGGACCCUAAGAAGCAGAAAAGACAUAAAUAACAGUCACAAGAAUUUGUAAAAUGAGGGAUGAAACCAUUAUAUGGAGGCAAUUUUGUAUCAUUAAAAAAUCAAGAUGACUCAGGAGGCUGAGGUAGGAGGAUCUCAAAUUUGAGGACAGCCUCAGCAGUUUAGCCAGGAUCUAAGCAACUUAGUGAGAUCCUGUCUCAAAACAUAGAAAUAGAAAGAGUUAGGGAUAUAGCUCAGUGGUAUAGUGCUCUGAGUUUAAUCCCCAGUACCAAAAAAGCAAGAAAAGUCAGUGGGUCCAGCUCUGCUUGCCCCUGCUAGGGAUUUUUUUUUUUUAAUUUUUAUUUUAUUAUCUGUUUUCAGCACUGGGGAUUGAACUAGGGCCUCAUGCAUGAUAGGCAAGUACUCUACCACUGAUCUACAUCUGUAGCCUCUAUGCUAGGUUUUUGUUUUUGUAUCAGGAAUUGAACUCAGAAGCUCUUAACCAUUGAGCCAUAUCCCCAGCCUCCCUCCCUCACCCCCUUUUUUUUGAGACAAGUCUAAGUCCUUAGGGCCUUGCUAAGUAACUGAGGUUAGCCUUGAACUUGUGAUCCUCCUGCCUCAGCCUCUCUAGUUGCUGGGAUUCCAGGCAUGUAUCACCACUCCCAGCAUCUGCUAGGUUUGGAAUGACUACAGUGGGGUUUCCAUUAUCAAUAUCACACAAACUAGUAUCCUUUUUCAAAGGUGUUUGGAAUUCAGGGGUGGAGACAUUGGAUAGCUAUUAACAAUAAAGGUUCCAGGUAGCUUUUAAGUCUAGGAAGGUUUGUUUUCCAUAAUUACUUGUAGUGUGACUCAAGACAAAAAUCAUGAGAACAUCACAAGUGGUGUCUUAUCUAGAACCAUCUAGCCAGGAAGAAAUGAAUUAAUGCUAAGACUGAGUUGCCUGCAAUGGAUGGGUUCUUACAGAAUGAGUAGGACUUGGUGUCCUGUUAACCAGAUUUGCCCCUGCACAGUUGCCUGGUAGCUUCAGUUGGCUGAAGUUCUUUCUCAUUUGCCUGUAGUCCAGUGACCAUUCAGACAGAAACUAUCAACAACAUCAAAGGGACCCACACAUUAAGUUUCUCAAUAAAUUAGUUGUAAUUCAGGAGGAAAAAUUGUAGUCUGUUCAUAAAAUUAUAAGUUGAACAACAGUGGAUGACUGUUAAAAAGAAAAAUUUUAAUACUUUUUCCUCUGUAAAAGAACAGAGAAAACCUUAAAAAUGUCAUUCUUUACUUAUAUAUAACUUAGGUUAUAUUUGUAACAAAAUUAAAUAGAUAAUGUAAAAAAUAUGUUGACUGUAAAACUGAAGGACAAAAAGCAAAUAGUUAAAUUAUCUUAAAUUUUAUUUUUAUUUUUUGGGUGCUGAUGAUUGAACCCAGGGCCUCAAGCAUUCUAAGCAUGUGCUCUUCACCACUAAGCUAUGCACAUCAGACCUCUGUCUUAAGUUUUACAGACAAUAAUGAUGUAUUAGAUUUGUUCACUCUAUUUUGGAUUUUCUCAUGGCCAACAAAACAAAACAAACACUGAAAUUUGUUCUUUAUUAAGGAAGGAAGAAAAAUGAUCAUGGACUUUGGGGUAGGACAUAUCUACCACUUCCAUCACUGACUAAUUGCUAACUUGCACAAGUUACUCUGUUUUUAGAUUCAGUAUUUUCAUCUUUAUCUCCCCCCCCCCUUUGGUACUGGGGACUGAACCCAGGGGUGCUGUACCACUGAGUUGUUU